rnacentral:rRNA from 1 species
GACGAACGCUGGCGGCGUGCCUAAUACAUGCAAGUAGAACGCUGAAGGAGGAGCUUGCUUCUCUGGAUGAGUUGCGAACGGGUGAGUAACGCGUAGGUAACCUGCCUGGUAGCGGGGGAUAACUAUUGGAAACGAUAGCUAAUACCGCAUAAUAGCAGUUGUUGCAUGACAACUGUUUGAAAGGUGCAAUUGCACCACUACCAGAUGGACCUGCGUUGUAUUAGCUAGUUGGUGGGGUAACGGCUCACCAAGGCGACGAUACAUAGCCGACCUGAGAGGGUGAUCGGCCACACUGGGACUGAGACACGGCCCAGACUCCUACGGGAGGCAGCAGUAGGGAAUCUUCGGCAAUGGACGGAAGCCUGACCGAGCAACGCCGCGUGAGUGAAGAAGGUUUUCGGAUCGUAAAGCUCUGUUGUAAGAGAAGGACGAGUGUGAGAGUGGAAAGUUCACACUGUGACGGUAUCUUACCAGAAAGGGACGGCUAACUACGUG